UACGUAGGUGGCAAGCGUUGUCCGGAUUUAUUGGGUUUAAAGGGUGCGUAGGCGGUCCUAUAAGUCAGUGCUGAAAUAUCCCGGCUUAACCGGGAGGGUGGCAUUGAUACUGUAAGACUUGAGUAAAGUUGAGGUUGGCGGAAUUGACGGUGUAGCGGUGAAAUGCUUAGAUAUCGUCAAGAACACCUAUUGCGAAGGCAGCUAACUAAGCUUUAACUGACGCUGAGGCACGAAAGUGUGGGGAUCAAACAGG
rnacentral:rRNA from 1 species